rnacentral:rRNA from 1 species
UACGGAGGGAGCUAGCGUUGUUCGGAAUUACUGGGCGUAAAGCGCGCGUAGGCGGCGAUUUAAGUCAGAGGUGAAAGCCCGGGGCUCAACCCCGGAACUGCCUUUGAGACUGGAUUGCUAGAAUCUUGGAGAGGCGAGUGGAAUUCCGAGUGUAGAGGUGAAAUUCGUAGAUAUUCGGAAGAACACCAGUGGCGAAGGCGGCUCGCUGGACAAGUAUUGACGCUGAGGUGCGAAAGCGUGGGGAGCAAACAGG